rnacentral:sRNA from 1 species
UUAAACAUAUGUAUUGACUAGGUUUUACUGGUACUCUUACUUCGCGUCUGCGACUGCAGAUUGCAUGCGGAGCCCAUGAUGCAAGUAUUCAAGGUGGUCCCGUCGGAAAAAGACGGUUGCGGUGGUUGUCUUUUCUCGUAUCACAAGGAAGUAAUCGUGCAUAUAUAACAGAUUGGAAAAUCACUAUUAUAGCCGGAUAAUGGCCUUAAACUAAUUUCUAGGCAAGGCGGCCUGCAGGGCCUCGGCCUGGCCGUCCCGUCAAUUCGAAUUGCAGCGACUGCCUGAACUUUUCGUGAUUUUCCUGAUCUGUUUGGGAAUGCUGGUACCAUGGCAUAUGGUAUUCGUCCAUGGUGUUCUCCAAGGUCUCAAAGUCCUCAAAAUGACCUUAAAAGCAUCCUCUUUGAGAUGUUCGAUCGGAAGAACGAAAGAGCUAACACCAAUCGAAGCGUAGCGUCGCUGACGAGAUCUACAAGUCCCAAUGGGUUUGCCCGUUUUACAGUUAAAUAUAUGAAAAAUUCCCAUUUUACAAUAAUUCAACCAAAAUCUAUAAUUAUUCGA